rnacentral:rRNA from 1 species
AUUGAACGCUGGCGGCAGGCCUAACACAUGCAAGUCGAACGAGUGGCGGACGGGUGAGUAAUGUCUGGGAAACUGCCUGAUGGAGGGGGAUAAAUACUGGAAACGGUAGCUAAUACCGCAUACCAUCAGAUGUGCCCAGAUGGGAUUAGCUUGUUGGUGGGGUAACGGCUCACAAAGGCGACGAUCCUUAGCGGGUCUGAGAGGAUGACCAGCGACCAUGGAACGGGUACACGGUCCAGACGCCUACGGUAGGCAGCAGGGGGGAAUAUUGCACAAUGGGCGCAAGCCUGAUGCAGCCGUGCCGCGUGUAUGAAGAAGGCCUUCGGGUUGUAAAGUACUUUCAGCGGGGAGGCGUUACCCGCAGAAGAAGCACCGGCUAACUCCGUGCCAGCAGCCGCGGUAAUUC